AUCUUUCUAGUAUUAAUUAAUACAAGUGACUUCCAAUCCCUCAAUCUUGGUUAAAAUCCAAGGAAAGAUA
rnacentral:tRNA from 1 species